rnacentral:lncRNA from 1 species
UGAGCCAAAGGAACCACCAAGUGGUAAUUGGAUUAUGCCUCAAGUUUGAGGUGGAUUGGUGAAACAUAUGAAUAUUGUUCACCAAAACAACAUUAAUGAAUAAAUGUGUCACCUUGAGGUGUGGCCAAUUUUUAUAUCUUGCUCUUUUUAGGCUUUUGUCAUGACACUAUUCGGCAAAACCUUUAUCUUGGCUUAAUAUUUAUUUUAAGUUUUUUUGUUGGAUUUCUUACAGUGGAAAAUCUACUGUUUUUGAUGGUAUUGUUCUUUGAACCAAUAAUUUUAUUAAAUGAGUUAUUAUUUAAUGCAAAGCUAUACUAUUUUCUUUAUGGUCA